rnacentral:rRNA from 1 species
UACGAAGGGGGCUAGCGUUGUUCGGAUUUACGUGGGCGUAAAGCGCACGUAGGCGGAUCGUUAAGUCGGGGGUGAAAUCCUGGAGCUCAACUCCAGAACUGCCUUCGAUACUGAGAGUCUUGAGUCCGGGAGAGGUGAGUGGAACUGCGAGUGUAGAGGUGAAAUUCGUAGAUAUCGGAAGGAACACCAGUGGCGAAAGCGGCUUCCUGGUCCAGCACCGACGUCAGGCACGAAAGCGUGGGGGAGCAAACAGG